rnacentral:lncRNA from 1 species
AGGUUAGCUCAUGGGUUUGCCUAUGAGAUACUGCUUACUGUCUUGGUUCUAUUACCAAGUGAGGAGACCCAUCCACUGUGGGAGGUACCAUUCCCUAGUCGGAGGAUGCUGGGCGGGGUAAUAGUGGAGAACAUGAAUUGAACACUAGCAUGCCUGCAUUUAUUGUUCUCUGAGCCUGAUUAUGGCUGUGACAUGACUUCCUCCCUUAAGUUCUUGUCACUGUGACUUGUCAACUGUGAAGGACUGUAAUAUGAAACUGUGAGCUGAAAUAAAACCCUUUCUCCUUAAAGUUGCUUUUGUCAGAAUAUCUUUAUUACAGCAACAGGUAAAGGAACCAAGACAGUAUGUAUCUGGCUUGUUUCACCUAGCAUAAUGCCCUCAAGGUUCAUCUAUAGUGUAGCAUGUGUCAAAACCACCUUCCUUGUCAAGGAUGAAUAAUAUUCCAUUGUAGGUCAGUAUACACACACUUAGUUUAUCCCACACAUGACAAUUUUCCAAGACUGCAUAUAUGGCAUUAUAGUAGAGUUACAUAUUAUUGUUUUUCUAUUUUGAAAAAUACGAGGAAACCAAGGUACGGAGUUGUCAUGUGACUUUAGCUAUCCAUGGAUGAUUGAGGGUUCAAACUCAGACCUCACUGAUUGCACGGACUGUGCCUUAAACGCUGUGUUGUCUUGCUCCCUUCUUUUCUGUUGUCAUGGAUCCAGAUGAUGUUGACUCUGAGUCAGUUUGGUUAUUAAUUUCCUGUUGUUAACAAAAACUGUAGCGUCUGAAGUCUCUGCUGCACCAUCUGGAAUUUUUAAUAAAAUCUUGAGGAAUUUC